UCCCAGACAGUUACGGAUAUUGGGUUCUUGUUCGGAAAUAAACAUGAGUGUAUAAUAUAUUUAGUUUGGAGCAUGGAGUUGUAUAAAACAAUGUCUAUAUUUAUUUGUGCAACAGUAUUUUGGAUAUUGACUUUAAAGACAGCAGGCGCUACAGAAUGCUUGAAGUGCAUAGAUGGUACGUUUGAUACCACAAGCGUUCCACAAACAUUUAAGUCAUAUAUAAAAACUUUGAAGAAAGACAUAAACACGCCAGGGUGUGCAAAUGCAACGUCUGUCACUAAAUCAGGAAGUAUAACAAUUGGUCCAUGUGAAGAUGACACCCCUAACAACAGGAUAAAUAUGUGUAGUACUUUAACCGGAACUGUCAACUUGACACACUUAACAGCUAAUUUAGACAUCAAAGUGACCGUCACAGCUAGAGGAUGUUUUGCAGUGGAUACAAACAUAAAAGAGGGAUGUUAUACAGAAAAGAAUAUGUUAAAUGACCAGAAAGUCGUUCUUGGAAAAAAGUUCGGAAAAGGAAUUGGACUAUUCCAAAUACAAAUUGGAGAUAUACAUAAUGGAAAAUUAUGUAUAAAUGGAAGUAGUACAUUAUGUUAUACGCCUGUAGUAUUGCUGUUGCUUAUAUUAAAGCUGAAACUAA